CGUGCCUGCUUCCCAAGCGCGCUCGCUUCCCGGCCUCCCCCGCGCAUGGCCAGCCCUGAGGACACUGGAGACUGCAAGAUGGCGUCGCUAGGGUGUCAACUUUGAAGACAGGGUUCCUGCUGCUGCUCAUUGUGUCCUUCGUCUUGGACAACAGCAUCGUGGCCACAGACCACAAAUGCUGCCUGAUCCUCUUCAGCUACGACGACCACGGUGGCCUGAGCUUCGUGUCCAAGUUUGACAUCCCCAAGCAGAACACCCAGCACAGCAUGGACAAGAGGGCCACCAGCAAGGAGAUGGUGCACCAGAACAGCAUCACAUGGGUCUGGUUGACAGAUUGGAGAUGGUCGUGAGCCACCGUGUAGGUGCUGGGACUCGAACUCAGGACCUCUGGAAGUACAGCCAGCACUCUCACCCUCUGAGCCCUUCCCUGCAGCCCCCCUGACCUUGAGCUUGUAACCUCCAGCCUCCACCUUCAGAUGGCUAGGGUUCUAUGCAAGCACCAGCACCCAGUAUAUGUGGCAUUGGGGACCCGGCCAGGGCCUUGUAUAGUCUCGGGCCUGCCCAAUGGGCCACAUCACGGCCAGGUGUCCAUUUGUGAGGUGGACAAGCAGGACUGUUGCAAAUUAUGCACCACCGGCAUAGAUGGGCCCAUGAGGAUCUGGGAUUUCAAGUUUCAUGGACUAGAAAGAGCAGUGGUACUGUUUUCUCCAAAGAUCCAUUAACGAUGCCAAUAAGGGAAACAGGAAACCUCUUCCACUGAAGAUAUUCUUUGAGGACGUCAUAAGCUGUGCCAAUGUAUGUGAAUAUAAAACCAAAAAUGACAUUCUGUGUUCAUGACUAGGAGAGAGACAGUUUGUAGAAUAAUGAAAUAUGGAGACAUGAGAAGUGGGUAGAGGAGAGAGAGUGAGAAUUUAGGCAGUGAUAUGUAGAAACAAUAUGUGUAUUCCAUGCUCAUAAAUGUAUUUACAGUGUGAUAUGUAGAAAACAAUAUGAAGCAAGAUUGUUCCACAUUAGCUACAGUGCCAAAAAAGAUAAAAUAUUUUUGUUAAAUUAUCCACUAACAUACAAUUUCAAUCCAAAUAUUCUUACCAUAAUUAAAUUGUUUUC